UACGUAGGGUGCAAGCGUUGUCCGGAAUUAUUGGGCGUAAAGAGCUCGUAGGCGGUCUGUCGCGUCUGCUGUGAAAACCUGGGGCUUAACCCCGGGCCUGCAGUGGGUACGGGCAGACUAGAGUGCGGUAGGGGAGACUGGAAUUCCUGGUGUAGCGGUGAAAUGCGCAGAUAUCAGGAGGAACACCGGUGGCGAAGGCGGGUCUCUGGGCAGUAACUGACGCUGAGGAGCGAAAGCGUGGGGAGCGAACAGG
rnacentral:rRNA from 1 species